GGUUCUUUGAUAUGCUGAAUCUAAAAUGUACUUAGAUUGUUGAUUAUGAGCCCAGUUUUCAAGUUGGUCCAAAUCAGGGUCCAAAAUUAAACUUUGUUUGAUUUCAACAAAAAAUGAAUAUAUGGGGUUCUUCAAUAUGCUGAAUCUAACCAUGUAUUUAGAUUUUUAAUAUAUGGGCCCGGUUAUCAAAUUGGUCCACAUUGAGGUCUAAAGGGUCUAAAAUUGAACAUUAUUUGAUUUCAUCAAAAAUUGAAUUCUUGGGGUUCUAUGAUAUGCUGAAUCUAACCACGUAUUUAGAUUUUGGAUAUUGGACCAUAAUAGGUAAAUGUCCAAUUUAAAAAUUUUAAGUUUUUAAGUUUAAGUUCUUAGACCACAUUCAUUCUGUGUCAGAAACCUAUGUUGUGUCAACUAUUUAAUCACAAUCCAAAUUCAGAGCUGUAUCAAGCUUAAAUGUUGUGCCCAUACUUGCCCCAACUGUUCAGGGUUCGACAUCUGCGGUCGUAUAAAGCUGCGCCCUGCGGAGCAUCUGGUUAUAA
rnacentral:lncRNA from 1 species